AUUGAACGCUGGCGGCAGGCCUAACACAUGCAAGUCGAGCGAGCGGCGGACGGGUGAGUAAUGUAUGGGGACUGCCCCAUAGAGGGGGAUAACUACUGGAAACGGUAGCUACUACCGCAUACUAUCGGAUAACCCAUAUGGGAUUAGCUAGGAGUUGAGGUAAGGGCUCACCUAGGCGACGAUCCCUAGCUGGUCUGCGAGGAUGAUCAGCAACAUUGGGACUGAGACACGGCCCAGACUCUAAGGGAGGCAGAGGGGGGGAAUAUUGCACAAUGGGCGAAAGCCUGAUGCAGCCAUGUCGCGUGGAUGAAGAAGGCCCUAGGGUUGUAAAGUACUUUCAGUCGGGAGGCGUUACCGACAGAAGAAGCACCGGCUAACUCCGUGCCAGCAGCCGCGGUAAUAC
rnacentral:rRNA from 1 species